rnacentral:tRNA from 1 species
GCCGAAAUGGUGGAAUUGGCAGACGCGCCAGACUCAAAAUCUGGUGGUAGCAAUACCGUGUGGGUUCAAGUCCCACUUUCGGCA